rnacentral:rRNA from 1 species
UACGAAGGGGGCUAGCGCUGCUCGGAAUCACUGGGCGUAAAGCGCACGUAGGCGGAUUGUUAAGUCAGGGGUGAAAUCCUGGAGCUCAACUCCAGAACUGCCUUUGAUACUGGCGAUCUUGAGUCCGGGAGAGGUGAGUGGAACUGCGAGUGUAGAGGUGAAAUUCGUAGAUAUUCGCAAGAACACCAGUGGCGAAGGCGGCUCACUGGCCCGGUACUGACGCUGAGGUGCGAAAGCGUGGGGAGCAAACAGG